AACGAACGCUGGCGGCAUGCCUAACACAUGCAAGUCGAACGAGAUCUUCGGGUCUAGUGGCGCACGGGUGCGUAACGCGUGGGAGUCUGCCCUUUGGUUCGGAAUAACAGUUGGAAACGACUGCUAAUACCGGAUGAUGACGAAAGUCCAAAGAUUUAUCGCAAGAGGAUGAGCCCGCGUAGGAUUAGCUAGUUGGUGUGGUAAAGGCGCACCAAGGCGACGAUCCUUAGCUGGUCUGAGAGGAUGAUCAGCCACACUGGGACUGAGACACGGCCCAGACUCCUACGGGAGGCAGCAGUGGGGAAUAUUGGACAAUGGGCGAAAGCCUGAUCCAGCAAUGCCGCGUGAGUGAUGAAGGCCUUAGGGUUGUAAAGCUCUUUUACCCGGGAUGAUAGUGACAGUACCGGGAGAAUAAGCUCCGGCUAACUCCGUGCCAGCCGCCGCGGUAA
rnacentral:rRNA from 1 species